rnacentral:misc_RNA from 1 species
AAGACUAUAGACCUGCGGAGUACCUGCGGAAGGAUCAUCAACAAAUCCAACCAAAACCACACACACCUUAUUGUGAACUGUUUGUUCUCUUUGUCCUCUUAACCACCCCUUUCCCUCGGGAAGGGGGGACCGGAGCGGGGGACAAAGGAGAAACUUUCCAACCCAAUUUAUUCACCCCAUACCAAUUCUCGUAAAUCGAGCCUAAGUUUUACGUUUUUUCUUUGCUUCCUUUCCUUUAAC